AGCGUACACGGUGGAUGCCCUGGCAGUCAGAGGCGAUGAAGGACGUGCUAAUCUGCGAUAAGCGUCGGUGAGGUGAUAUGAACCGUUAUAACCGGCGAUUUCCGAAUGGGGAAACCCAGUGUGUUUCGACACACUAUCAUUAACUGAAUCCAUAGGUUAAUGAGGCGAACCGGGGGAACUGAAACAUCUAAGUACCCCGAGGAAAAGAAAUCAACCGAGAUUCCCCCAGUAGCGGCGAGCGAACGGGGAGGAGCCCAGAGCCUGAAUCAGUGUGUGUGUUAGUGGAAGCGUCUGGAAAGGCGCGCGAUACAGGGUGACAGCCCCGUACACAAAAAUGCACAUAUUGUGAGCUCGAUGAGUAGGGCGGGACACGUGGUAUCCUGUCUGAAUAUGGGGGGACCAUCCUCCAAGGCUAAAUACUCCUGACUGACCGAUAGUGAACCAGUACCGUGAGGGAAAGGCGAAAAGAACCCCGGCGAGGGGAGUGAAAAAGAACCUGAAACCGUGUACGUACAAGCAGUGGGAGCCUCUUAAUGGGGUGACUGCGUACCUUUUGUAUAAUGGGUCAGCGACUUAUAUUCUGUAGCAAGGUUAACCGAAUAGGGGAGCCGAAGGGAAACCGAGUCUUAACUGGGCGUUAAGUUGCAGGGUAUAGACCCGAAACCCGGUGAUCUAGCCAUGGGCAGGUUGAAGGUUGGGUAACACUAACUGGAGGACCGAACCGACUAAUGUUGAAAAAUUAGCGGAUGACUUGUGGCUGGGGGUGAAAGGCCAAUCAAACCGGGAGAUAGCUGGUUCUCCCCGAAAGCUAUUUAGGUAGCGCCUCGUGAAUUCAUCUCCGGGGGUAGAGCACUGUUUCGGCAAGGGGGUCAUCCCGACUUACCAACCCGAUGCAAACUGCGAAUACCGGAGAAUGUUAUCACGGGAGACACACGGCGGGUGCUAACGUCCGUCGUGAAGAGGGAAACAACCCAGACCGCCAGCUAAGGUCCCAAAGUCAUGGUUAAGUGGGAAACGAUGUGGGAAGGCCCAGACAGCCAGGAUGUUGGCUUAGAAGCAGCCAUCAUUUAAAGAAAGCGUAAUAGCUCACUGGUCGAGUCGGCCUGCGCGGAAGAUGUAACGGGGCUAAACCAUGCACCGAAGCUGCGGCAGCGACGCUUAUGCGUUGUUGGGUAGGGGAGCGUUCUGUAAGCCUGUGAAGGUGGCCUGUGAGGGUUGCUGGAGGUAUCAGAAGUGCGAAUGCUGACAUAAGUAACGAUAAAGCGGGUGAAAAGCCCGCUCGCCGGAAGACCAAGGGUUCCUGUCCAACGUUAAUCGGGGCAGGGUGAGUCGACCCCUAAGGCGAGGCCGAAAGGCGUAGUCGAUGGGAAACAGGUUAAUAUUCCUGUACUUGGUGUUACUGCGAAGGGGGGACGGAGAAGGCUAUGUUGGCCGGGCGACGGUUGUCCCGGUUUAAGCGUGUAGGCUGGUUUUCCAGGCAAAUCCGGAAAAUCAAGGCUGAGGCGUGAUGACGAGGCACUACGGUGCUGAAGCGACAAAUGCCCUGCUUCCAGGAAAAGCCUCUAAGCAUCAGGUAACAUCAAAUCGUACCCCAAACCGACACAGGUGGUCAGGUAGAGAAUACCAAGGCGCUUGAGAGAACUCGGGUGAAGGAACUAGGCAAAAUGGUGCCGUAACUUCGGGAGAAGGCACGCUGAUAUGUAGGUGAAGCGACUUGCUCGUGGAGCUGAAAUCAGUCGAAGAUACCAGCUGGCUGCAACUGUUUAUUAAAAACACAGCACUGUGCAAACACGAAAGUGGACGUAUACGGUGUGACGCCUGCCCGGUGCCGGAAGGUUAAUUGAUGGGGUUAGCGGUAACGCGAAGCUCUUGAUCGAAGCCCCGGUAAACGGCGGCCGUAACUAUAACGGUCCUAAGGUAGCGAAAUUCCUUGUCGGGUAAGUUCCGACCUGCACGAAUGGCGUAAUGAUGGCCAGGCUGUCUCCACCCGAGACUCAGUGAAAUUGAACUCGCUGUGAAGAUGCAGUGUACCCGCGGCAAGACGGAAAGACCCCGUGAACCUUUACUAUAGCUUGACACUGAACAUUGAGCCUUGAUGUGUAGGAUAGGUGGGAGGCUUUGAAGUGUGGACGCCAGUCUGCAUGGAGCCGACCUUGAAAUACCACCCUUUAAUGUUUGAUGUUCUAACGUGGGCCCCUUACCGGGGUUGCGGACAGUGUCUGGUGGGUAGUUUGACUGGGGCGGUCUCCUCCUAAAGAGUAACGGAGGAGCACGAAGGUUGGCUAAUCCUGGUCGGACAUCAGGAGGUUAGUGCAAUGGCAUAAGCCAGCUUGACUGCGAGCGUGACGGCGCGAGCAGGUGCGAAAGCAGGUCAUAGUGAUCCGGUGGUUCUGAAUGGAAGGGCCAUCGCUCAACGGAUAAAAGGUACUCCGGGGAUAACAGGCUGAUACCGCCCAAGAGUUCAUAUCGACGGCGGUGUUUGGCACCUCGAUGUCGGCUCAUCACAUCCUGGGGCUGAAGUAGGUCCCAAGGGUAUGGCUGUUCGCCAUUUAAAGUGGUACGCGAGCUGGGUUUAGAACGUCGUGAGACAGUUCGGUCCCUAUCUGCCGUGGGCGCUGGAGAACUGAGGGGGGCUGCUCCUAGUACGAGAGGACCGGAGUGGACGCAUCACUGGUGUUCGGGUUGUCAUGCCAAUGGCACUGCCCGGUAGCUAAAUGCGGAAGAGAUAAGUGCUGAAAGCAUCUAAGCACGAAACUUGCCCCGAGAUGAGUUCU
rnacentral:rRNA from 1 species